ACUUAAUAACAAAGAAAAUAAUAUUCAGCAGAGCCAUAAAGAUACACCCCGGAUUCACCUACAAUGUCCACACAUACUCUGGUGCAUCUUUCCGCCGCCCUACCAAAGUCCGAUAUAGGUACAUUUUGUUCACUUUUGGUGUAUGAUCAGCACUAAAAUCUGCCAGCUCAUUUUCAUUCAUAAUCUCCACAUUGAGCCGUGGCAUCAUCUUUGCAAGGGUCUUGCAGCCUCCAAGA
rnacentral:misc_RNA from 1 species